UCCCCGGCGCCGCCUGAUGCUCCCCGCGACGUUGCCCCGAGAGCGCCCUCGGCUAGCUGCUCGGUUCCGCGCGUCCCGUGCUGGAGCCGCGUGAUGCCCAGCGCCGCCGCGUCCAGUAGCACGCCAAGGUACGGAGCGCCGCCGUCGUCAUCUUCUCCGGCCAAACUUGGCCGCCAUGGUGAGCUCUCCGCGCCGAAGAGUAGCGCAGGAGCUUGGUGUUCCAAUUGGGGAUGAAGUUGGUUAUGCAUUUCAAUUUGAGGACAGAACUUCGGAGAGAACAUGCAUAAGAAGGAGAGCAACCAAGAGCGUUGAAGAUCAAAAGAGGAAGAGUUGAAGACUCUGAGCGGUUAUUCUUUGGAAGAAAGACAAGUGUUCCUUGAUCAUACUUUUGUCCUAAUAACCGCAAUAAAUACACUUUUUUAUGCAUGCAUAUGAAUUUUGAGGGAUCCUAAUUAAGGAUACAACUAGUCUUUAUGAUCAUUACUU